UUACUAUAGAAGAGCCUUGCAUUGCGUC
rnacentral:sRNA from 1 species